AAACGACCCCAACGAAGAGAAGUACUGUACGCUUAUUCAUAGAUGAUUGAGCGAAAAUUAUGGUCAAAAUUUUCCUGAUGAAAAUCUCGUACUGCUAUGAUUACCCUAAAUACGAUCCCUCAUUUCAUUCUCCUGCUGACGUAUGUGAUCUCAUAUAACACACCAACAAUUACACUUCUCGUCAGGUUAUCGUUGGGGUCCAUUGUAUAAUGUUGUUGACGAAGAAGUAGAAAGCAGUCAUUUAAAUUCCUCGCUGCAUCUCCAGGAAAUUUAACCGAAGCUGUGUACAGAUUUAACUGCAAUAUU
rnacentral:lncRNA from 1 species